rnacentral:misc_RNA from 1 species
CCUUGCUAAAAGCAGAGUUGCUGAUGCAGGCAAGCAGUCUGAUCAGCCAACUGAAAAGAAGAAAGGUCUUGUUGACUGGAUGAACAUAAUUAAGCCUGGGAACGAGGAGAAGGACCAUUGGGUUCCAGAUGAAGCAGUUAAUAAAUGCACAUCAUGUGGAAAUGAUUUUGGUGCCUUUCUGCGAAGGCAUCAUUGCAGGAAUUGUGGUGAUAUUUUCUGUGAUAAGUGCACCCAAGGCAGGACUCCUCUUACUGCAGAUGAGAUUGCUCAGCCGGUCCGAGUCUGCGAUAGAUGCAUGGCAGAAGUUUCUCAGAGGCUGAGCAAUGCAAAGGAAACUGCCACCAAGUCUGCUGGAGUGCAUACGCAUGAGGAUCUUGCCAGGAAGCUUCGGGAGGAAAUGGAAAGGAAUAAGUCGUCAUCAGGUUCGAAGUCCUCAGGUGGAUCCACAAAGCGAAUGAGGGAAGUUGCAUGUCCCACCUGCACCGUCCAUCUACAGGUUCAGGUCCCAACCUCAGGUUCUGAAACUAUAGAAUGCGGUGUCUGCCAGCAUCCUUUCCUUGUUAGCGCACAUUGAGUGGCUCAUCAUUUGGUUGAUCGAAUUUACUAAGCUUUAAGUAAUUUUAUUGGUUAGGACAUAAUAAAA